rnacentral:rRNA from 1 species
GACGAACGCUGGCGGCGUGCUUAACACAUGCAAGUCGAACGAAGUGGCGAACGGGUGAGUAACGCCUAAUCAACCUGCCCUUCAGAGGGGGUCAACAGUUGGAAACGACUGCUAAUCCCGCUUACUGAUGGUGGGGUUUGCGUCGGAUUGGCUAGUUGGAGGGGUAACGGCCCACCAAGGCGAUGAUCAGUAGCCGGGCUGAGAGGAGGAACGGCCAAAACGGGAAUGAGAAACGGGCCAGAAUCCUACGGGAGGCAGCAGGGGGGAAUCUUCGGAAAUGGAGGAAAGUCUGAAGGAGCAAAGCCGCGUGAGGGAUGACGGCCUUCGGGUUGUAAAGGUAUGUUAAUCGGGACGCGGUACCGGAAGAGAAAGCAACGGCUAACUACGUGCCAGCAGCCGCGGUAAUAC